AGAGUUUGAUCCUGGCUCAGGACGAACGCUGGCGGCGUGCCUAAUACAUGCAAGUCGAGCGGACAGAAGGGAGCUUGCUCCCGGAUGUUAGCGGCGGACGGGUGAGUAACACGUGGGUAACCUGCCUGUAAGACUGGGAUAACUCCGGGAAACCGGAGCUAAUACCGGAUAGUUCCUUGAACCGCAUGGUUCAGGGAUGAAAGACGGUUUCGGCUGUCACUUACAGAUGGACCCGCGGCGCAUUAGCUAGUUGGUGGGGUAAUGGCUCACCAAGGCGACGAUGCGUAGCCGACCUGAGAGGGUGAUCGGCCACACUGGGACUGAGACACGGCCCAGACUCCUACGGGAGGCAGCAGUAGGGAAUCUUCCGCAAUGGACGAAAGUCUGACGGAGCAACGCCGCGUGAGUGAUGAAGGUUUUCGGAUCGUAAAGCUCUGUUGUUAGGGAAGAACAAGUGCGAGAGUAACUGCUCGCACCUUGACGGUACCUAACCAGAAAGCCACGGCUAACUACGUGCCAGCAGCCGCGGUAAUACGUAGGUGGCAAGCGUUGUCCGGAAUUAUUGGGCGUAAAGGGCUCGCAGGCGGUUUCUUAAGUCUGAUGUGAAAGCCCCCGGCUCAACCGGGGAGGGUCAUUGGAAACUGGGAAACUUGAGUGCAGAAGAGGAGAGUGGAAUUCCACGUGUAGCGGUGAAAUGCGUAGAGAUGUGGAGGAACACCAGUGGCGAAGGCGACUCUCUGGUCUGUAACUGACGCUGAGGAGCGAAAGCGUGGGGAGCGGACAGGAUUAGAUACCCUGGUAGUCC
rnacentral:rRNA from 1 species